rnacentral:lncRNA from 1 species
GCCAAAUGUAGCCGCCUUCCCACCUUCGGGGUUAAUCCUUCCAUAUAUGAAUUUUGGGGGUCACACAAUUCAGUCUAUAACACUAGGAUACCCAUUUUUCAUCCUUAUAAAAUAAAAUGAAUGUUACUUUGACAUUUCAUGAUAAGAUAUAAGCUUUUCUAUUCCUCUCAUUGCAAAAGAUGAUUAAAAGAUGCUGUUCAUACUGGGUCCUUCCUACCUGGCACCAACAAAUCAGGUAUUUCAUGACAGCUUUUCUUCAGAUAAAGCCAUGGUCGCCCCCCCCCAAAAGGAGGCUGGACUAAAUUAAAUCUUCGGAUUCCAAUUUUAUGAACUGCACUAAAAUCUCUCUAGGGUGCAG